rnacentral:rRNA from 1 species
ACGGAAGGCAGCAGUGAGGAAUAUUGGUCAAUGGGCGGAAGCCUGAACCAGCCAAGUCGCGUGAAGGAAGAAGGUAUUAUGUAUUGUAAACUUCUUUAGUCGCAGAGAAAUAAGGAGGUCGUGACCUCUGAUGCUAGUAUGCGAAGAAUAAGGAUCGGCUAACUCCGUGCCAGCAGCCGCGGUAAUACGGAGGAUCCGAGCGUUAUCCGGAUUUAUUGGGUUUAAAGGGUGCGCAGGCGGUUUUUUAAGUCAGUGGUCAAAUCGCGGAGCUCAACUCCGUCCCGCCAUUGAUACUGGGAGACUUGAUUGCGGUCGAGGUUGGCGGAAUUCGUCGUGUAGCGGUGAAAUGCAUAGAUAUGACGAAGAACACCGAUUGCGUAGGCAGCUGACCAGGCCGUAAAUGACGCUCAUGCACGAAAGUGCGGGGAUCGAACAGGAUUAGAUACCCUGGUA